rnacentral:rRNA from 1 species
GAUGAACGCUGGCGGCGUGCCUAAUACAUGCAAGUCGAGCGAACAGAUGAGGAGCUUGCUCCUCUGACGUUAGCGGCGGACGGGUGAGUAACACGUGGAUAACCUACCUAUAAGACUGGGAUAACUUCGGGAAACCGGAGCUAAUACCGGAUAAUAUAUUGAACCGCAUUGUUCAAUAGUGAAAGACGGUUUUGCUGUCACUUAUAGAUGGAUCCGCGCCGCAUUAGCUAGUUGGUAAGGUAACGGCUUACCAAGGCGACGAUGCGUAGCCGACCUGAGAGGGUGAUAGGCCACACUGGAACUGAGACACGGUCCAGACUCCUACGGGAGGCAGCAGUAGGGAAUCUUCCGCAAUGGGCGAAAGCCUGACGGAGCAACGCCGCGUGAGUGAUGAAGGUCUUCGGAUCGUAAAACUCUGUUAUUAGGGAAGAACAAAUGUGUAAGUAACUAUGCACGUCUUGACGGUACCUAAUCAGAAAGCCACGGCUAACUACGUG